rnacentral:rRNA from 1 species
UACGUAGGGUGCGAGCGUUGUCCGGAAUUAUUGGGCGUAAAGGGCUCGUAGGCGGUUUGUCGCGUCGGGAGUGAAAACCAUGGGCUUAACUCAUGGCUUGCUUCCGAUACGGGCAGACUAGAGGUAUGCAGGGGAGAGCGGAAUUCCUGGUGUAGCGGUGAAAUGCGCAGAUAUCAGGAGGAACACCGGUGGCGAAGGCGGUUCUCUGGGCAUUACCUGACGCUGAGGAACGAAAGUGUGGGGAGCGAACAGG